ACACUUUGGUUUCCCUUCAGAUCACAUAACUAUUUCUCUUCUUACUGAAGAUUUCUGUGGCAAAAAAGCAAAUAGAAGUCUAUACGUAAAUUUUUGAGGCCUUGUUGAGGUAAGGCU
rnacentral:snRNA from 1 species